rnacentral:rRNA from 1 species
UACGUAGGGUCCGAGCGUUGUCCGGAAUUAUUGGGCGUAAAGGGCUCGUAGGCGGUUUGUCACGUCGGGAGUGAAAACUCAGGGCUCAACCCUGAGCGUGCUUCCGAUACGGGCAGACUAGAGUUCGGUAGGGGAGACUGGAAUUCCUGGUGUAGCGGUGAAAUGCGCAGAUAUCAGGAGGAACACCGGUGGCGAAGGCGGGUCUCUGGGCCGUAACUGACGCUGAGGAGCGAAAGCGUGGGGAGCGAACAGG